ensembl:lncRNA
GGGACUGAGCUGCCGGGAGACGCGGGGCUGGGCCGCAGUGACUGGCACAAAGCCCCUGGCACCGGGGAGAGCUGCCAGCAGGAACAGGACUUCGGUGCCAGCGAACCCACGUGGGGCACCGGCUACAGCUUGGACAGCGCUGGCAGCGGGGACGGGAUCAGCUCCGGGGACGCCGAUUGGACCAGCAGCUACAGCGUGGGGGGAGCCCAGCGCCAGGAUGAGGAGCUGAGCUCCAGGCAGCCCAGCUGGGCCGGCAAGUACAGCUCUGGGGACCCGGAGAGCCAGGAGCAGGACAUCACACUGGCAUGGGCUGGCCAGUACGGCUCCAGGGAUCCAGAGAUGGAGGACAGGGAGCUCAGCCCAGCCUGGACCAGUCAAUACAGCAGCAGGGGUGCUGAGACCACAAACGAGGAUCUCACCCUGGGCUGGGCUGGCAGAUCCAGCACUGGGGACGCUGGGACUGCAGGCAGAGAGUUCAGUCCCAGCAGGACGGCCUGGGAUAGCAAAUACAGCACCAGGGACAUGGAGAGCCAGGACCGGGAGUUCAGCCCCAGCAGACCGGCUUGGACUGAUGAAUGCAGCACCCAAGGCAUGGAGAGCCAGGACAGGAAGUUCAGCCUCAGCAGGCCGGCGGAGGCCGAUGGAUACAGCAGCAGGCACAUGGAGAGCCAGGACCGGGAAUUCAGCCCCAGCAGACCGGCCUGGGAGGACAGAUACAGCACCAGGGGGAGGGAGAGCCAGGACCAGGAGUUCAGCCCCAGCAGACCUGCUUGGACCAGUGAAUGCAGCACCAGGGACAUGGAGGACCAGGCCUGGAAAUUCUGCCCUGGCAGACCAGCCUGGGACAGCGAGUACAGCAGCAGGGACAUGGAGAACCAGGAGAGAGCGUUGAGCUCCAGCAGAUCAGCCAAAGCCAGUGAGGGCAGCACCAGGGACGUGGAAAGCCAGGAUGGGGAGUUCAAACCCGGCAGACCACCCUGGGAGGACAGAUACAGCACCAGGGAUGUGGAGAGCCUGGACCAGUUCAGCCCCAGCAGACUGGCUGAGCCUGAUGGGUACAGCACCAGACACAUGGAGACCCAAGACAGGGAGUUCAGCCCUGCCAGACCAGCCAAAGCCAGCGAGCACAGCACUGGGGCCAUGGAGACCUGGGACAGGGAGCUCAGCCCCGGCAGAUCGGCCUGGGAUGAUCAACACAGCACCCGGGAUGUGGAGACUUGGAAUGAGGAGCUCAGCCCUGGCAGACCAGCCAAAGCCGGUGAGUGCAGCACCAGGGACGUGGAGAGCCAGGACAGGGAGUUCAGCCUGGCCUGGGAGGACAGAUACAGCACCAGGCACUUGGAGAGCCAGGACAGUGGGUUCAAACCAAACAAACCAGCCUGGCAUGGUGAGCACAGCACCAGGGACAUGGAGAGCCAGGAGCAGGAGCUCAGCCCCAGCAGAGGAGCUGAGGCUGAUGGAUACAGGAGCAGGGACACGGAGAGCCAGGACCUGGAGCUCGGCCCUGGCAGCCUGACCGGGGCUGGUGAGUGCAGCUCUGCAGACACCAGAGAGGAAGGGAGACAGGUCAGGCCUGGCCGUGGCACCGGCCAAACCGAGCUGGUGGAUGCUGCUGCCGAUGGGAAGGAGUUGCCCGGCUCCCACUGUUCCUAUCCGCCAUCCCAGGAUCCUGGCUGUGGCAGCGCUGAGCACGGUGCCGCUGGCAGCAGGGACUGGGCUGAGGAGCCUGGAGCAGCUGAGCACCACAGCCAGUUCAGCAGCGUCGGCACAGAGCAGGGCCUGGGUCCCUCCGGUGCUGCGGUGUCCGCCGGUGGCUUCAUGCCCUGGUCCGGUGUGAUGGGAGCCCCGGGGGAGCGGCACCACGACGUCUCCUGCGGCACAUCAGAAGGAACCGGCGUGCAGGAGCGUGGCUGCGGCGACUCGGAGGCCCAGCGCCGGGAAUGGGCUGAUGCGUUCAGCGCCCGCUGCGCCGCCCGGAGCCGGGACGUCGGGGAGCGGCGCCUGGGAGGUGACACCGGCUCCGUGCACAGCCUGCAGACGGGUGACCCCCCGGCCAUGGGGUCCCCCUGCACUGACCCACUCAGCCCUAUGGAGGAGGAGAGGGACCCCCUGGAGCUGAACGCUGCCCCGCGGAGCCCUGGGGCCUCCUCUCCGCUGCCAGAGGCUGUCGGUGGGACCCCACUGGACACAGGGAGUGCAGCAGCCCCGUCGGACCAGCUGGAUGGGAAGAGACCUCCCAGCUGGGAGGAGAAGUGGCUCCCCACGGGCACCCCACAUCCUGAGGCGCCCCCGGACCUCGCCGGGCAGGAAUUCACCUUCCUGGAGGACGCGGAGGUGCUGGACAGCCGCGUGUUCCGCAGCAAGGCCGAGCUGGGCCGGCAGCGAAGGCACCGGGCGCCCGCGCUGCGCCCCGCCGCCGCCCCGGACGGGGACGCUUGGCUCUUCCGUGACUCCACCGGUGAGGCCCGAGGGGCGGGGGGCGGGCGGGGGGGCGGUGCUGAGCUGACCCUGUCCUUCCGCAGAGCCCCGGCCGGCGGCGCCCGAGGAGGAGGCGGCGGUGGAGCCCCGGAGCCGGCGGGCGGGCAGGGCCGGGAAGGUGCCGCUGUUCCCCAGCCUCAGCGCGGCCGCGCUCAAGGUGGGGUCUCCCUUGUGAUGGGGACGGGGGGCGGACACAGAGCACCCGGAGCCCACCCGCACCUCCCUGUCUGCCCCCAGGCCAAGCUGAGAGGCCGGAACCGCUCUGCCGAGGAGGGGACCCCCCCCGGGGACAGCAAAGUGACCCCCCCCCCGGGAGCCCCAUGUGCAGCGCUCCAAGUCCUGCAAGAUCCCCGGCCUGAGUGGGAAACCCCUGGUGCUGCCCCCCAAACCAGAGAGAUCCUCGGGGUCCGAGGCGUCCCCCCCCCACUGGCUGCAAGCGCUCAAGCUGAAGAAGAAGAAACCUUGAGGGGGCUCCCCCUCUCCGGCCGCUGCCCCCGGAUCAGGACACACACACACACAUCUAUGCACUUUGUACCAUGCUCGCAGGGUCCCUGACCCCCACCUGACACCUCAGCCCCCCGGCCCCCCCCGAGCCGUGGGGUGGGCUGUGUCCCCCUCCCUGCCCCUCGCCCUGCUCCUGUGUCAGCCGCGCACAGCGAGCAGCAGGUCAGGAUGUUGGUGCCAUUGAACAGGACAAUAAAACUUCUCUGGUUGGUUCGGGGGGGCCUGGCUCUUCCCUCAGCGCCCCCGGGUGUCCCCACGGGGGGGGCCUCGGGGCCUGGCCCUGGGCUGCGGGCGCCGCCGCUGCGGGCGCCGCCACCAGGGGGAGCUCCGUGCCCGCGCUGCGUGCUGGGCCCGCCCAAGCGGGGCGCUUCGGUACCC